GCUGUCUGAGUCUUACUGUCUGCUUUGCUUUGUCCUUCUCAGAACGCAAACACUGGAAGGAAUUAAGCCUCUGUAGAGUUCAGGAGCAUCAUGGGAAUCUCUCUGUGUAGGGGCAUGAAGGCCAAAUCGACACACUCAGGCUGAUUUAAGUAUUUUCCAUGGUAACAAGAUCUAUGUGUGUUAAGCAUAGAGAUGAAUUGAUGGACACACCUGAGCCCAUUAAGCCAUGGUCAUCCUUGUGCGUAAGCGCAUAACAGAUGCUUCAAACUGAUUUCAGCUUCUGCUGUGACCCAGUCAUCAUGUAGUCUCUUGUGUCAGGAAAGAAACCAAGAAUGCAUGUGCUCGAGCUGAUCUGCGGAUUCUUCUAUGAUCACGAGCUCCAUGGCUGCGUCUUUGUGUUAGAGCAUGGCGGCCAAUGUUUCCCCUAAACAUUCCUUCAUUGAUAAAAAUGUACGCUAUUUUCGUUAUGAGGAAGGAGCCUACAGGAGAUAAUGGUAGCACUCGAGAUGAUUUUGCGUCUUGCCUGGGCAUGAGCUCUGGUUGCAUGGAGAUUAAUGAUGGAUGUACUGGACCUGAUUGAAGGACUCUUCCAUGAUCACCAGCUGUAGUUUGCAGCUCUGAUUUAGGCUGGAGACCCACCAGUAAUAAAAGCUGACAGUGAUUUCAGCGUCUGCUGCAGUCCAGGUUACCAUGGUUCCCCGUGGUUGUAGGAAAGGGAUCAAGAAUGUACACAUGUGAGCUGGGGAAGCGUUAUUCCAUGGCGGUGAGCUGUGUGAGUGCAUAGCUGUAAGAGAGGCACACAAACCAAUUAUGAUGUCACUCGAGCUGAUUUAAGCGUCAUCGAUGUUAAUAAGCUUUAUGGUUGCAUCUGUGUGGUAAAAGCGUGGAGACUAAUAGUGUUAAAUACUCGAGAUGAUUUAAGCAUCUUUCAUCGUCACAGACCCUAUGCUUGCCUCUUUGUAAUAGCCAGAAGAUUAAUGCUCCUCAGAAUAAACACACUGGACCUGAUUUAAGGACUAUUCUUGAUCACGAGCCACAGGAUUGCAUCUCAGUUUUAGGAAUCUGGAAACCAAUAACAGAUGUGUUAGCUAAUUUCAGCUUGUACCCUGGUGAAGUUUCUUAUGUUGCUUCCGUGUUACAAGAGAGACCAAGAAUGGUUGCAUUGGAGCUGAUGUAAGCAUUCCACCAUGGUCGCGAGCACCGCGGUUGCCUCUAUAUACAAAAGGAAGACAGAGGUUAAUAAUGGACAAAUUUCACCUGCUUUGAGGAUUCUUCCUUGAUCAAGAGUCUUGGGGUUACAUUCCUGAUUUAGGAUCCAGGAGACCAGUAAUGGACACACUUGAGCUGAUUUCAGCAUCUUCCAUGGUCACAGUCUCUCUGGUUGCUUC